rnacentral:rRNA from 1 species
ACUAACGCUGGCGGCGUGCCUAACACAUGCAAGUCGAACGUGCUUGUUUUUGAUAGCAAUAUUGGAAACAGGAAAGUGGCGAACGGGUGAGUAACACGUAGGUAAUCUGCCUCUGGGAUGGGGAAAACUCAGGGAAACUUGAGUUAAUACCCAAUAAGCCCACGCUCCGGGAGGGGUGCGGGAAAAAGGCGCAAGUCGCCUGGAGAUGAGCCUGCGGCCUAUCAGCUAGUUGGUGGGGUAACUGCCUACCAAGGCUAAGACGGGUAACCGGCCUGAGAGGGUGAACGGUCACACUGGGACUGAGACACGGCCCAGACUCCUACGGGAGGCAGCAGUGAGGAAUUUUCCGCAAUGGGCGCAAGCCUGACGGAGCGACGCCGCGUGAAGGAUGAAGGCUUUCGGGUCGUAAACUUCUUUUGUGGGGGACAAGUUGAUGAUGGUACUCCACGAAUAAGCCCCGGCUAACUACGU